AUUGAACGCUGGCGGCAGGCUUAACACAUGCAAGUCGAGCGGAGAGAGGUAGCUUGCUACUGAUCUUAGCGGCGGACGGGUGAGUAAUGCUUAGGAAUCUGCCUAUUAGUGGGGGACAACAUUUCGAAAGGAAUGCUAAUACCGCAUACGUCCUACGGGAGAAAGCAGGGGAUCUUCGGACCUUGCGCUAAUAGAUGAGCCUAAGUCGGAUUAGCUAGUUGGUGGGGUAAAGGCCUACCAAGGCGACGAUCUGUAGCGGGUCUGAGAGGAUGAUCCGCCACACUGGGACUGAGACACGGCCCAGACUCCUACGGGAGGCAGCAGUGGGGAAUAUUGGACAAUGGGCGCAAGCCUGAUCCAGCCAUGCCGCGUGUGUGAAGAAGGCCUUAUGGUUGUAAAGCACUUUAAGCGAGGAGGAGGCUACUUUAGUUAAUACCUAGAGAUAGUGGACGUUACUCGCAGAAUAAGCACCGGCUAACUCUGUG
rnacentral:rRNA from 1 species